rnacentral:rRNA from 1 species
CCUACGGGUGGCUGCAGUGGGGGAUAUUGCACAAUGGGGGGAACCCUGAUGCAGCGACGCCGCGUGGGUGAAGAAGCGCCUCGGCGCGUAAAGCCCUGUCAGCAGGGAAGAAAAUGACGGUACCUGAAGAAGAAGCCCCGGCUAACUACGUGCCAGCAGCCGCGGGAAUACGUAGGGGGCAAGCGUUAUCCGGAUUUACUGGGUGUAAAGGGAGAGUAGACGGCGAGGUAAGCCUGAAGUGGAAGCCCGCGGCCCAACAGCGGAACUGCUUUGGGAAAUGUUUUGCUGGAGUAUGGGAGGGGUGAGCGGAAGUCCUGGUGUAGCGGUGAAAUGCGUAGAUAUCAGGAGGAACACCGGUGGCGAAGGCGGCUUACUGGACCAUAACUGACGUUGAGGCUCGAAAGCGUGGGGAGCGAACAGGAUUAGAGACCCGAGUAGUC